UUUAUGUUUUUAUAUAGAUUGUGGAGAUGCCAUCAACCAUCUCUACUAUUUCUGAUACCUGUCUUCACCGAAAAGCUAGAUCUAGAACAGAGGUCUCCAACCUUGGCAACUUUGCUGUUGAGGAACUCUGGGAGUUGAAGUCCACAAGUCUUAAAGUUGCCAAGGUUGGAGACCCCUGAUCUAGAAGACAGAGGAGUGGGUAGGAGACUUGUUCACUCAUCUCUUAAUUUUUUCCUGUUGAGAUAUGCAUAGGCCAUAGGAAAAAAAAAUGUGGAGGGAGGUGGGAGAUAAUAGGAAAAAGAGACAAGACUAUUAGUAAAGACAUUUGCUUAGAUUGUUGAGCCGGAACCAAUUGGUUAGGCUAAUUGCUAAUUUCUACUUAGUUUUCUCUGAUGCUGAGUUGUUAAUAGAUAGUUUGUAGAUCAUAGUGUAAGGAGAAUGGUGACUAAAGUGAUGGCCAUCUUCGUCUAGCCACUGCUAAAAACUUUGCUGUCUUAGGGAUGACCUUAACUAGAAGCUGGGUGGGAAGGUGUUGUUAUCCUGCCAAUUCUCAUGGAUUUUUUACCAACUUUUAAUACCAAAGCUAAGUUUGAAGGGUAUCGUUUUAAAGUACUUGUGAUCUUUCUUGCCCAGAAUGGUCUUGGGAGAAAAUGUCCCUCCUAUAUUAUUCACAACUAAAUGAAAGUUUUGAAGUGAGGAGUCAACAGUGUGUUGAUGAUCUCCAACUCUACUUUUCCUUAAGACUAUGCUAUUAUAAAUAAUUUCCCUGUUCCAUUAAAGAGGCAGAGAAAAACCAAGAAUCAGGUUUCUGCUCUGCCAGAUACAUGAUAUUUUAGUUUCAACAUCAGAACCCUCCAAGACAAACAGCCAAUAAGCCAGUCUUCAGUCCACAUUUACUAACAAGCAACUAUAUUUUAUAUUAGUGAAAGAAUGGAUAAUUAUUGUGGUACUAAACACUCAUCAUGACUAAUGUUAAUGAUGGAUGGUAUUGCAUCAUUUUGAAUGCAAUCACUUAGCACUUGAAUUAAUGCACUAUGCUAAUUAUUAAUGCAUUAUGACAGUGGGCCAAUUUACCAUUGCAUUUAAAUUGACUGUGAUGGGCAAAAUGUACAUAGGAUGGGAUUCACAAACAAUUUCAUGUCCAGAUUCUGAUCAGAGUUGUGUCUGCUAACUUACAAAUAACUAACUAGAGUAAAGUCACUACAGUAUAACAUGCAUCUUCCAACAAUGACCUGGGAAAAAGGGAAUGUUAGGAAGACAUGCAGAUAGGAAAAAGGAUAAAACAGGAAGCCAACUUAUUAUGGAGAGAGAUGGUUAAAUAACUAUUGUGAGUUUUAUUGGGUGAGGAAGAUUGCUUGACAGUGAUUGGCUAACAUAGUUUUUGACUGACACAUUGGCAGUGUUUCAGCCACCAGAAGUUUCAGAUUGACAUAAAUAGGUUUUUGUCAAAAAAAUGGAAGUGGUGUAGAAACCAUCAGAGACUAUUUGCAAAUUAUCUUGUUAGUUAAUUAAACAAAUAUACAUGGCCACCUGACUCACACCCGACAACUCCAAGAGGCUUACAACAUGAAAAAUCCACAACAUAAAACCCCUAAACUCCCCAUUAGACAAGUUAAUAACAAAAUAAGUUAAUAAAUUAAGAUUUAAAAUCCCUUUGCUAUGAGGGAUUCAGUGCUACUAUCCCCUUAGCUCAAUUGUUCUUUGAAUAGGGAUUAAUUGUAUGUAGUAGAUUUUUAAGGGCCAACACUAAAUCUACAGUUUUGAACGUAAUUAACAAACUAACACAGAAAUAGGUUGCUUAUUAUUCAGACGGGAUAAAAACAGGAAUUUAGACAGAAUGGAGCACUUUUCUUUGUACCAUUUUUUUUCUUUGAACAUUGGCUAUUUGUUUUACACUGAUAGGGAAAGAGGCUGCAGCAGUUUUUCUAAUUUCUUAGAGAGUUAACAUGGUUAAUAAGUCUUGCGAUAUGCAAGAUGCAACAACAAUGAAGCAAAUGCCAAAGCUUUGAGUUGUGCCCAGUUCCUUGCUGAGGCAGAUUCCAAAAAUGAUGAACCAUAAUUCAAGCAUGCUGAGUCAAACUUCAGCACUAUUCAUCCAAAUGUACUGACUCAAGUGUUAUUGCACAAGUAGUGCCCUUUCAGUGUUCUUGCAACUGUGUGGGAGUCACUUUUCUGUCUAUUGCUGGGAGAAUAUUUCAAAUAAACUGAUCACAUGGGUGAAUGGCUUGCAUGAGCAAUGCCUAUGAUUGGUUGGGUUGGAUUCUUUAGACCUUCUCCCAGUCGCGUAGGGAGAUGAAGAGGACAAAGCAGGGAUCAGAAUACAGUGAAGGGCAGCCAAGGGAUUUCACUGGCAAGUAAGGAGAAGAAAGGCUUCUGAAGCAAGAAAGGAAGGAAUGCACCCAGCAAAGUAAAGAUGAUCCCAGUCUGUGAGUUGACUCCAACAGCAGAGAUAACCAUUCGCCCAGAGCCUUCCAUGACGUGGGUGCCUAAAACAAAACAAAAGUCAGAAGAAUACUAAGUGGAAAUGUUAGGAACCCAAGAAGUAGAUCUUCUGGAUUCAUUACAAGCUGAGCAAUUCUGGAAAAGACCAUUGCAAAAUUGCAUAGAAUUGGAUAUUUCUCCUAUCUAUUCCAAACGGAUUGUGGGAGAAUAUUAAAUCAGGAAGAGGUGCCAUGAUUCCAUCAGCCACAAUAUCUGGGAUUGCAGUUUUGGCAGACUGCAUUAGGAUUUCAAGUUCAUUUCACUCUAGAAGAUAACGCGAGUUAAAACCAUGGAAACCCCUGGCAAGAAUGUGGAAGGAGCAACCUGAGUGGUCUCCUUGAGGCUCAUGAGCUGAAUCGGCACAAGUGAGCGAGGAAGUCUACUCCAGAGUCUGCUCAGCUGAGCAGGGGCACCGAAGUACUCUUGCUGAAUGCCCUGAGAAAGGCCUUGUUCUUUUCCAAAACAUGUCAAGCCUCAAUAAAUGAUUUUGAAAAGAGUUUCCUCCCUGACCAUUUUCUUACGAUGAAGUUAAAACAAAAUAGCCUCUCUGAGACCAGUCAAGCCAGGAAAAAGCAAGGAAGAAAGACAUAAGGCAGCAAAGUCACUUAUACAACUGCUCAGCUGGAACCUAGCCAUUGCUGAAGCAACAUCUCUCACACUAUUCUUCAUACUGGACAGCUCCCCAGCUAAUCUGAACUGCUUUUUCCUUGACCAACUGGACAUUCUUGAUAAAACAAGAGUCGAUGCUUCAGCAGGCUCAAUAGGAAGAGAACGUUACUAAAACACAUUUUACUGAAAUAAUCUAAUUUUUUUGUGCUGUUUAUUCUUGAAUAUAUUCAUGAAUUUAAAUGUUACUAAUAGUCCCCUCAUGCCCAGCCUUUUGCUGGAAUGUAAUAUGGCGGUCUCGCAAGGUAAAAUGUUCAUGUAGAUUUUGUUUGUGUGGCAGUCCAGAUUAUCACAGUUAAUAGGCUGGAGAAACAUUGCCAUAUGAUGCUGCACAGGGGCUGGUGGGUUGUAUUUAGCCCUGGAGUAUGUUUGUCAGAUCUCAACAUAUGCAGUGAGGCUGAUGAAAUAGGAUUGGUGUCUGAAGAAUGAGACCUUCCAUUUGUUGUUGAACUACCACUCCCAGCAUCCCUUAGCAUUAGUCACCUUACCUCAGGCUGCUAAGAAUUGUAAUUCAACAACAUCUGGAAGGCCGAAGCGCCAUCAAUUGUUCAUGCAUGGAGAUGGAUCUGCUUAAUGAUUCUGGAGGGGAAUUUGAAUGACCUGAAUAUGAGUCAGGCAAAAGUUGAUGGCAAAAACUU